rnacentral:lncRNA from 1 species
CUCAGGCUUCCAGCACCAGCCUACCUUUUCCACCACUGCCAGAUUUUUCUGUGGUUCUGGGCAUUUUCACCCUGGGGGCCUCUGGGAGAGCUGGGGAGAGGGGCAUGAGGGAGGAGUUUGGCCCCCAGAUUCUAGCAGAGGAGUUUGCAUUUCCAGAUUCUCAGCACUGGGGCUCCGGGUCAGGGUGGGAGGCGAGGCGGAAAGGGGAGUGGAUGACUGUGAGGCUCGGCCUGGGAGAAGGCGGAGCAGGGGGGCCCUGGCAGAGGCGCCCGGAACAAAAAGACCCAGCAGAGGGGUCCUGAAGCAUCCCCGCCCCCAUCCUGCCCCGCAUUCCGGUGUCCUGCUGAGGGGGAGCUGGGAACCUGAGAGGCAGGUUUAACUUCUGAGUAAACUCCGAGAUGACCCUGAUAAGGGUGGGUCAGCUCUGCCUCCCCCCCCCCACAUUCUCCUGCCGAGGGCUGGAGCCAGGGCCCUGGGGAAGCUAGAUGGCGGGAGAUGAGAGGAUUGGGGAGGAUUGUGAGGGCCUGCAGUCUUUCAGGCUUUGCUUUAUCACUUAGUCUGGAAAUUUCUUUCUCAAUCCUGAGGAGGGAGGUGUUCAGAAUAGCACCUGAGGUGUGAGGAUGGGGGUUUAUCGCCCUCACAGGGAGGGGCUGAUUCUUAUCAUCUUAGAAGGAUUGGGAGUGACUCCAGAAAGGACUUCCCAGAAGUGUGAGUGUGUGUUGGAGAAUGUGAGAGGUCCCUGAGAUUACUUUGGAGGCGGUGGUCGGAAUUUGCAGAAGUGAAAGACCCGAGGGUGUGUCAGCUCACAGGGCAUGGUGUGAUCUGCGGGGAGAAAAUGGGCUCUUCCACACUGUCAUCUGCUGCUGAGGACCACGGAGGGCUUCAUGGCGGCCUCCUCAAGCUGUUGCUGGAGCGAAGGCGUGCACACUUGCACACAAGUGUGAUGAACAAUGCUGGAAGCACUGGGAAAGAGGCACUCCAUGGUCAUCGUCCUUGCUGCCAAGAAGGAAGCUAACACAGAGGAAAACAGUCAAGAGAAGAAGAGAAGGAUGGCCCUGCUGUCAUCGCCAAGCCUCCCAUCCGUCUACGCUGAAAGCCAAGUUCACCCCUGCACUUCCCAAUUGUGGGAGCAAAUAAAUCAUCUUGUG